CCAACGGCUGACGGUAAUUAGCUAAACGAGGGCAAGUGGGGCUGCUACAGCGCGUCAGCUUACUGAAAAGCAAUCGAGUUUGUUUGUUUUUAACUUCACAAGUCUUUACUAGCGGUUAGGGAAACGAAGUCCUACAGCACACAAGGAGACUUUUGGGGCUGAGUGAGUUUAACUAAAAGGGGGUGCACCACGCAUUAUUGGGGGAGACGCUAUACAACGGUGGAGCACAUUUCGUCACACCUGGAAAGCUAACGUGUUAGCAGCUAUUGCUAGCCAGCCCUUACCUGUGCAUGAACAAGACAAGCCAGGCUUCACACUGACGGAUUUAGUGCGGCAAUACGGUGAAUGGAAAUGACUGGACUACCUGAGACGGUUCAGCGGCGACAGU